rnacentral:rRNA from 1 species
CGCGACCCCAGUACAG